rnacentral:rRNA from 1 species
ACCUGAAGACGGUGCGCUGACCCGAGCAAUCGGGAGGCAGCCGGCCACGGUCAGGUCAGCGACUGGGGUGAAGUCGUAACAAGGUAGCCGUAGGUGAACCUGCAGAAGGAUCA